GAUGAGGAACGUAGCGAAAUGCGACACGUAAUGUGAAUUGCAAAUUCAGUGAAUCAUCGAGUCUUUGAACGCACAUUGCGCCCCCUGGUAUUCCGGGGGGCAUGCCUGUCCGAGCGUCAUUGCUGCCCUCAAGCACGGCUUGUGUGUUGGGCCCCGUCCUCCGAUUCCGGGGGACGGGCCCGAAAGGCAGCGGCGGCACCGCGUCCGGUCCUCGAGCGUAUGGGGCUUUGUCACCCGCUCUGUAGGCCCGGCCGGCGCUUGCCGAUCAACCCAAAUUUUUAUCCAGGUUGACCUCGGAUCAGGUAGGGAUACCCGCUGAACUUAAGCAUAUCAAUAAGCGGAGGA
rnacentral:misc_RNA from 1 species